CCUAUCUUUAUAGUAAUAAUAAAAGAUAGUAAUAAUGUUUAUAUUUGAAAUAGCAAAUUUAGAUCUAGUUAUUUAAUAAUUUUCACAUGAUAUUCAAUUAAUUUUCAUUUUUAUGGCAAUGGUUAGCUUCUACAUAAACACAGUUGCAUAUAUAAGUCAUUUUUUUGUCACAUUUUUGGUACUUAUAUUUUUUUGUUAUAGGAAGAUGUUGUAAGAAGGGCAAGGAAUCUCAAGAGAGAUACAAAGGUGGAAGUGUACUCGAACAUCGACAAUCAAAGCAACCUCAUAAUCGCACAACGAUCACAAGGCAUGUGGUUAGUCCAGCUUCCCGAGCGUAAUGAAUCGCAUAAGAUGGAGAAGCCAUCCAUAAUGAAGAAAGCGAUCAUGAAGAGAGCGAACUCAGAAAAUGUGAGAAAUGAUUAUGUGAAGCCCUUACAUAUAUAUCAAGGGCCUGCAUCAACAAUUUUCUCAAGAAGGACUUACCAACAGAAGCACCUCAACAUGGCCGAGGCCCGAGGCCCGCGGCCCUCAAUCUCCACCGCGCAGCCAUGAAACCGCCUCAAAUCUAGCCACGGCGCCUCGAUUUUCCAAGAAUCUAAGCUCCCAAUCCUUAAAUGCAGAUCAUGUAUCCCUGCUCGCCUUACUGUAUCUCUUGUUGGCUGCCUCCGCAGCAGAAGAAAGCUUCUGCGAGGAGACACCUUCAGGAGGCGGCAAAGAGGACAUUGUGAGCUCGCCCUUUGAUGAAGAAAUGGAUGAAUUUCCGCCAUGGUUGAAUGAGGUUUGAAGAUGCAAUGUGUUCUUGAUUGUCAUCAAUGAUGUCCUCUAAAUGAAAGGCUAACUUUGUAGUUUAAUUCCCCAUUCUUAGCAUAGUUAUUAUGUUUAUUUUCAUAAAAUUGUGUAUGUAGGAACUAUUAUAUGGGAAUGGGAUCCCUCAUUAUUAUUAA